rnacentral:rRNA from 1 species
GACGAACGCUGGCGGCGUGCUUAACACAUGCAAGUCGAACGGAGGAUUUAUUUCGGUAAAUCCUUAGUGGCGAACGGGUAAGUAACGCGUGGGCAAUCUGCCCUUCAGAUGGGGACAACAUCCCGAAAGGGGUGCUAAUACCGAAUACGAUCACGCUGCCGCAUGGCGGUGUGAUGACAGAUGGCCUCUAUUUAUAAGCUAUCGCUGAAGGAUGAGCCUGCGUCUGAUUAGCUAGUUGGUGGGGUAACGGCCUACCAAGGCGAUGACAAGUAGCCGGUCUGAGAGGAUGAACGGCCACAUUGGGACUGAGACACGGCCCAAACUCCUACGGGAGGCAGCAGUGGGGAAUAUUCCGCAAUGGACGAAAGUCUGACGGAGCAACGCCGCGUGAGUGAUGAAGGUUUUCGGACUGUAAAGCUCUGUUGUUUAGGACGAAAGUGCCUGUUGCGAACAGUUACAGGUAUUGACGGUACUGAACGAGGAAGCCACGGCUAACUACGUGCCAGCCGCCGCCGUAA